GGCCUUCUGGACAGUACUGACGCUGAGAUGCGAAAGCGUGGGGAGCAAACAGGAUUAGAUACCCUGGUAGUCCACGCUGUAAACGAUGUCGAUUUGGAGUUGUUGCCUAGAGUGAUGGGCUCCGAGGCUAACGCGAUAAAUCGACCGCCUGGGGAGUACGGCCGCAAGGUUAAAACUCAAAUGAAUUGACGGGGGCCCGCACAAGCGGUGGAGCAUGUGGCUUAAUUCGAUGCAACGCGAAGAACCUUACCUGGUCUUGACAUCCAUAGAAUUCUGCAGAGAUGUGGGAGUGCCUUCGGGAACUAUGAGACAGGUGCUGCAUGGCUGUCGUCAGCUCGUGUUGUGAAAUGUUGGGUUAAGUCCCGCAACGAGCGCAACCCUUAUUCUUUGUUGCCAGCGAUUUGGUCGGGAACUCAAAGGAGACUGCCGUUGAUAAAGCGGAGGAAGGUGGGGACGACGUCAAGUCAUCAUGGCCCUUACGACCAGGGCUACACACGUGCUACAAUGGCGUAUACAAAGGGAAGCGAAGGUGCGAGCUGGAGCGGAUCUCAUAAAGUACGUCUAAGUUCGGAUUGGAGUCUGCAACUCGACUCCAUGAAGUCGGAAUCGCUAGUAAUCGUAGAUCAGAAUGCUACGGUGAAUACGUUCCCGGGCCUUGUACACACCGCCCGUCACACCAUGGGAGUGGGUUGCACCAGAAGUAGAUAGCUUAACCGCGAGGGGGGCGUUUACCACGGUGUGAUUCAUGACUGGGGUGAAGUCGUAACAAGGUAACCA
rnacentral:rRNA from 1 species